GAUGAACGCUAGCGAUAGGCUUAACACAUGCAAGUCGAGGGGCAGCACAAGGUAGCUUGCUAUCUGGGUGGCGACCGGCGCACGGGUGCGUAACGCGUAUGCAACUUGCCCUAUACAGGAGGAUAACCCGUCGAAAGACGGACUAAUACUGCGUAUGCUCACAACUUGGCAUCCAGUGGUGAGGAAAGAAAUUCGGUAUAGGAUAGGCAUGCGUCCCAUUAGCUUGUUGGUGAGGUAACGGCUCACCAAGGCAACGAUGGGUAGGGGAACUGAGAGGUUUAUCCCCCACACUGGUACUGCGACACGGACCAGACUCCUACGGGAGGCAGCAGUGAGGAAUAUUGGUCAAUGGGCGCGAGCCUGAACCAGCCAAGUCGCGUGAAGGAUGACUGUCUUAUGGAUUGUAAACUUCUUUUAUACGGGAAUAACAAGAGUCACGUGUGACUCCCUGCAUGUACCGUAUGAAUAAGCAUCGGCUAACUCCGUG
rnacentral:rRNA from 1 species